rnacentral:rRNA from 1 species
CACGUAGGGGGCAAGCGUUGUCCGGAUUUAUUGGGCGUAAAGAGCUCGUAGGCGGCUCAGUAAGUCAGGUGUGAAACCUCCAGGCUCAACCUGGAGACGCCACCUGAUACUGCUGUGGCUAGAGUCCGGUAGGGGAGCGUGGAAUUCCUGGUGUAGCGGUGAAAUGCGCAGAUAUCAGGAGGAACACCCGUAGCGAAGGCGGCACUCUGGGCCGAUUCUGACACUGAGGAGCGAAAGCGUGGGGAGCGAACAGG